ACAUUAAUAUCAAUCUAAUGACAUUCCAUAGGAAUAAAAAUCCAAUGGGAUCCAGUUCUUAGCAGUCCCAGCCUAGUCAGAAGUACAAAGUCAAAUACCAUUUGCACAUCACCAAGAGGUACAAUCUGAUGAGUAACAGGAUAUCUGAUCUAAAAGCUUGCCAGGUUUCACAAGCUGUUUGAGUAUCACCAGGGCAGAUCAAGAAGAAAUAUGAAGGCCAGGUUCAUAACAAGCAGUUUCUUCAUUGCAAUUACAGAUUUAAAAACUUGAAUGA